GUGAAAAGAAUGAACCGUCCGAUUCCUCUGGGGAGGAUUCUAACAAUGACAUGGAAAAGGGGAACAAAGACAACCAUGAUCUCACUAACUUUGGGAUUGUGACUGACGAAGACAAGGAAGGUGACCGAGAGGCUUUGAUGAAACUUACUAGCAUGAUUGAAGAAAGGUUGAAGACCAAACCUUUGCCCCCACCACCUCCACAAACACCUGCAGAUGGUUCCAGGCAUACAAACUCAGAACUGCCAGCUAAAUCAAGGGAUGGGGACUCUGAUGCUGAUAUAAUGAGACAAGACACAGCUGAAGAUAAAAAUGAUGAUGAGACAACUAGUGACCACAAAACAGCUAGUGAACAGGAUAGACAUGAAACAAACUCACCCGAUAGGAGUAGAAAGUAUGACAGAAGAAGCAGAGAGAGAGACCGAGAACGAGAUCUAAAA
rnacentral:misc_RNA from 1 species